UACGGAGGGAGCUAGCGUUGUUCGGAUAUACUGGGCGUAAAGCGCACGUAGGCGGCGCCGUAAGUCAGGGGUGAAAUCCCGGAGCUCAACUCCGGAACUGCCCUUGAAACUGCAGUGCUAGAAUCUUGGAGAGGCGAGUGGAAAUUCCGAGUGGUAGAGGUGAAAUUCGUAGAUAUUCGGAAGAACACCAGUGGCGAAGGCGGACUCGCUGGACAAGGUAUUGACGCUGAGGUGCGAAAGCGUGGGAGCAAACAGGAGUUAGAAACCCGAUGGAUGACGU
rnacentral:rRNA from 1 species